rnacentral:rRNA from 1 species
AAUAGAUACCCGGUAGUCCACGCCGUAAACGAUGAGUGCUAAGUGUUAGAGGGUUUCCGCCCUUUAGUGCUGCAGCUAACGCAUUAAGCACUCCGCCUGGGGAGUACGGCCGCAAGGCUGAAACUCAAAGGAAUUGACGGGGGCCCGCACAAGCGGUGGAGCAUGUGGUUUAAUUCGAAGCAACGCGAAGAACCUUACCAGGUCUUGACAUCCUCUGCCAACCCUAGAGAUAGGGCGUUCCCCUUCGGGGGACAGAGUGACAGGUGGUGCAUGGUUGUCGUCAGCUCGUGUCGUGAGAUGUUGGAUUAAGUCCCGCAACGAGCGCAACCCUUGAUCUUAGUUGCCAGCAUUCAGUUGGGCACUCUAAGGUGACUGCCGAUGACAAACCGGAGGAAGGUGGGGAUGACGUCAAAUCAUCAUGCCCCUUAUGACCUGGGCUACACACGUGCUACAAUGGAUGGUACAAAGAGCUGCGAACCCGCGAGGGUAAGCCAAUCUCAUAAAGCCAUUCUCAGUUCGGAUUG